rnacentral:rRNA from 1 species
AUUGAACGCUGGCGGCAGGCCUAACACAUGCAAGUCGAGCGGAUGAAGGGAGCUUGCUCCUGGAUUCAGCGGCGGACGGGUGAGUAAUGCCUAGGAAUCUGCCUGGUAGUGGGGGAUAACGUCCGGAAACGGGCGCUAAUACCGCAUACGUCCUGAGGGAGAAAGUGGGGGAUCUUCGGACCUCACGCUAUCAGAUGAGCCUAGGUCGGAUUAGCUAGUUGGUGGGGUAAAGGCCUACCAAGGCGACGAUCCGUAACUGGUCUGAGAGGAUGAUCAGUCACACUGGAACUGAGACACGGUCCAGCCUCCUACGGGAGGCAGCAGUGGGGAAUAUUGGACAAUGGGCGAAAGCCUGAUCCAGCCAUGCCGGGUGUGUGAAGAAGGUCUUCGGAUUGUAAAGCACUUUAAGUUGGGAGGAAGGGCAGUAAGUUAAUACCUUGCUGUUUUGACGUUACCAACAGAAUAAGCACCGGCUAACUUCGUG